GGAAAAAGAGACCAACAGUGUCUGGCUCCUGGGGGCGGGGUGUGUGGGGGUGUCUGCUCCAGAGUGGGGGACAGUGGGGACUGCUGGCCAAAAGGAAGUACACAGAGAGGAACUCCAACAACCUGAACCAAAUCCAGUGUUGCCCAAGCAGAGAGUCUGGUUGUGGGGCCGACAGAAAGGAUCAUCUCUGACACUCAGUUUUGUUAUCUGAGAAAUGGGCCUUAUUAUAUACACAUCUGCUUACGGUCUGGUUUGGGAUGGCACAGACCGGGAGGAGUUUGGGCAGUGCCCGGCAUGCCCUGGGAGGCGGGCAAGCCGGUGACAUGCACUUGGUGUUUCUGGGGCCUCAGUGAAGGAAGAUCGCUGCAGAGGCUGGGGAUGUCGCUGUGUGAAGCCCUCUUCCACUUCUGAGGACCCAGCACAAACCAAACGGACAAGACCAUUUGAACUCGGAGCAUCUGCCCUUAAGAGUUGAGUGUCCACAGCCUGGAGUGGGAAGUGGGGUCAGGAAGGCCAGACAGUAAUCUCAGUCUCUCUGUACCCCCGCCCCCACGAUGUGUGUCUGCCUGUCUGUCCGUCCUCUCGUGCCUGGAUCUGCGCAGGCCACCCGCAGUCACAGCACACAGUAAGUACAUAUCAGCUGUUGGCCAUCGUCAGAGCAACAGCGUCCCAAGACUGGAGCUGUUCAUGGGGUAAAGACGCCGAGGUUCAGUCUGGUGAAUUCAUGUGUCCGGGGGCGGGUGGGGGCUCCCAGGAAAGCUGACCUGGAACCCCAGCGCUCAAUGACUGUGGCAGUCUAGCCGGGGAAGAUGAAUUUGCUAAGUGAUCUUAGCUGUCAGGCUAAGGUGGGGGGGAGGGUGGUCAUCAGAGCAGGACAGAGAGGAAAGAGUUGGGGUAGGAGUGUGUGAAGUGGGGGUAGGGUGGCGAAAGAGGGGAGACCCCCAAUGUGAUUGGCAGCUACUGCCAUAGGCUAGACCUAGGGCCAGACGUGAGGGGACUGUGUUCUCAAGGUUUCCUAGGGACAGAAGAGGAAAACGUUCUGCCAAGGGCCGAAUCAAGGUGGCAGGAGCUUUGGGUCUGGAGAUCUAAGAGAGUGAGAGAGAUACAAAAAGAAAAAGGGCUGAGGACAAUGAUGAAAAAAAGGAAUUCAGUGUGGCACUUCUAGGUCUAGCCUGCGCUGGGUGUAAGAGCUGACCUGACUGAACACAGCUGAGCUGAGGAGCCUUCCAGAAUGUUCAAGGUAGUCCUGCGUGCCCAUCUUCCAUGGAGCACAAAGCCAUGGUGCCUGCCAGAGCAGCACUCAGCACCCAGCACCCAGUGGCUCCCGGAAGGAGGUCUACCUCCCCUGACUCCCUCUGGCUAGCUUGAGUGGCUGCCACUCCCAGGGGCAGCUGUCAUCAACACCUUCCGAAUCUUGACAGGAGGAGAUACGUUAUCCUUGGUGACAGUAGCCAUCAGCCACACUCUAGAAUGGCAGCGACUUCUACAGAGACAUGGACUCCAUCACCCGGCACGCAAGGCAGACUGGUCAUGUCUUGGAUGGAUGCUGGAACCAUCGGAUCCUGUAACCCGCUUCUCCACCUCCAGUACAGACGUCAGGACUUGAGGCUCCCUCCGUCUGCUCUCUUCUGCACUGCACUUGAAUUUCCCUGAGGUUUGGCAUUUGGGGUUUUUGUUUGGCUUGUUUCUUUGCUUGCCUAGAGGAAUAAUCAAUGCUUAGGCUUUUAAUAGCAAAGGCAUUUAGUGGGUCAACCAAGCACUCAGGAGAUAGACAGGAGGGUCAGAAUUCAAGGUCAUCCUUUGCUACACAAUGAGUUCAGGGUCAGCCUGGGCUACACGAGAUCCAAUCUAAAAUAAACAAAAAAUAAAAUAAUUGAUAUUUCUUCUCUGUAUAUUAUAGUUAUACUGUAGACUGUUGGGGAUACAUUCUCCAAGAGUCUCAAAGUUCAUCUCCACUGAGUUAAUUAAUGUUGUUACUAUAACACAACACUAGAGUCUGGUUCGUUUACAAAUACAAAAGAUUUAUUUUGGGCUGGAGAGAUGGCUCAGAGCUGACUGCUCUUCCAAAGGUCCUGAGUUCCAAUCCCAGCAACCACAUGGUGGCUCGAAACCAUCUGUAAUGGGAUCUGAUGCCUUCUUCUAGUGUGUCUGAAGACAGCUAUGGUGUACUCACAUACAUAAAAUAAAUAAAUAAAUCUUAAGAGAGAGAUUUGUUUCUACAAAGGCUAGAUGCUACUGAGAGUAAAGGGUUUAGAACUCCGUUUUCCUCUUCUUACUAACUCACUAAUCCCAUCUUGGGGGGGGGAGGGGGAAGCUUCAUGACUUCACCUAACCUCGUUCACCUCUCCUAGACCUUACCUCCUAUCGCUACCAAUCUCUGAUUUGGGGAUCAAAUUUUCAACCCAGGAGCUUUAGGGAGACAAAUGUAAACCCCAGUAUCCCCUGACUCCCGGUGUACACUGGAUCCUGCACACAGUAGGGCUCCAAUAAAUACUGAAAGUCCUUAGAAUGGGGGCAAAAUCAUUUUUGUGUUUAUAAAUAUGACCCACAUGUUCUCUCAUCUUUUAAAAUUGUCAGAGUAAUUUCUCUCUCUCUCUCUCUCUCUCUCUCUGUGUGUGUGUGUGUGUCUGUGUCUGUGUGUGUGUCUGUGUCUGUGUCUGUGUGUCUGUGUGUGUGUACUCACAUCCAAGUGGGUUUGGGUACCUGUCAUGUGGACAUGUAUAUGUUGGUAGAAGCCAGAAGUCAACCUUGUGUGUCAUUUCUCAGAGGUGAUCCAUCUUAUUUUUUGAGACAGGGUCUCUCACUGAGGCCGGGGACUUACUGUUUUUAGGUUACACCUGCUGGCCAGCAAGCCAGAGAGACCGAGAGAGACGGUCUGUCUCCAUCUCUCCAGCGACAGGCUUUCAGACCCACACCACCAUGCCCAGCUUUGAUGUGGGUCUGGGUUUUGAGGAGUAGAAUUCAGGACCUCUUGCUGAGCCAUCUCCCCAGCCACUGAACAUAAUUCAUAUAUAAUCUGGCUUUUGUUCCUUUUGUGGGUGCAGGGUGUGUUUUGUUUUGUUCUUUGCUGUGUAUUAUUCUGUGCAUUUAAGCUUUAUUUUUUUGUGACUACCUGGGAGGGACACUGAACAGCCAGAAAGGCCAGGCCGAGGCUUCACUGAUGGGGAUGUGAGCCCGGGAAUGCUGGCAGCUGCCGGGAGCUGGAAAGGGCAAAGGAAAGGACUGUCUCCGCAUCCACGGUGGACGCAGCCCUCUGCCCGAUUUCUAUUUCUGGCCACCAGCUCUGCCAGGUAGCGAGCUUGGCUGCUCUGAGCUGCCUGGGUUUGCCGUUGUAUUUUCCUACUAGCAUGGGAAAGCGUGAUCAGCUUGCUUUGUUCUCAAUUGUUCCAGAAGCUCUGCCGGUCCCCUCCAGGACUCCUGAGUCUCUGCUCCGUGGUACUCGGGGCUGGCUCUCAAAGUUCUAGGCUGCAGAAAUCUCACAAGCGCAUGAGCUUAGAGUCCCAGGGUGGAUGUCCACCAAGAGCCCAGGGACAAAGCAUUGACAGCUCCUGUGUGCGCCACGUCUCCCCCCACCCCCACCCCUACCCCCAGGAACUGUGAGAGGAGUGCAGAGCCCCUCCCCCAGGCCUUUCCAACAAGGACUCCUGGAGGACCCUUGGGUUUUUAACACCAAAUCACCAAAUGUUUCCCACGCAGCAACACAAACCAGCUCUUCCUCAUACAGCACGGUGGGCCAGUGGACCAUGGGGACAGGUUACCUCUGUGGGCCCAGGCUCACGGUAAACUCUAACCUCAAUCUGUAGCCUCCCACAGCCAUUUGCGGGUCACCUUGCUUCUCAGCCACCGUGUGGCACUUGGCAAGUCACGUGUGCCUCAACACAAUAAGAAGCCAAGGGAAUAGGGGCUUUGCUUAACUGGUACAGCAGUGUAGCCCAAGCUAGCCUUGAACUCACUAUGUAGCCAAGGACGAUCAUAAACUCUUGAUCCUCCCGCUUCAGAGUCCUGGGUGUUGAGAUAACAGGUGUGGGUCACUCCCUACCCUUCUUCUAAUAGCAAUCAAUGUGUGGCCACAUGUUUGUGCCUCACAGAUUAAAACCAUCUUGACCUGAGGACGAAAUGACUAACAGUUGCCUCCUGAAGGUUGCCUGGAUCUCAUCUUUAUAAUCCCAGCAAUCAAGGGGAGUGGGGGAUCAGGAGUUCAAAGUCAGCCCAGCCUGGGCUACAUGAGACCCUGUCUUGAAAAAUGGAGGAAUUAAGCUGGGCGUGGUGCCGCACUCCUUUAAUCCCAGCACUUGGGAGGUAGAGGCAGGCGGACUUCUGAGUUCGAGGCCAGCCUGGUCUACAAAGUGAGUUCCAGGACAGCCACAGCUAUACAGAGAAACCCUGUCUCGAAAAACCAAAAAGAAAGAAAGAGAGAAAGAAAGAAAGAAAGAAAGGAAGGAAGGAAGGAAGGAAGGAAGGAAGGAAGGAAGGAAGGAAAGGAAGGAAGGAAGGAAGGAAAGAAAGAAAGAAAGAAAGAAAGAAAGAAAGAAAGAAAGAAAGAAAGAAAGAAAGACAGACAGAAAGAAAGGUAAGGAAAGAAAGAAAGGAAAAGAAAGAAAGAAAGAAAGAAAGGUAAGGAAAGAAAGAAAGGAAAAGAAA
rnacentral:lncRNA from 1 species